rnacentral:pre_miRNA from 1 species
UUGGUUAGUUGUGCAUUUUCAUUAAAUAUUAUGUAAAUGCAUUUAUCUGGCCAAGAA